GACGAACGCUGGCGGCGUGCUUAACACAUGCAAGUCGAACGGAAAGGCCCUGCUUUUGUGGGGUGCUCGAGUGGCGAACGAGUGAGUAACACGUGAGUAACCUGCCCUUGACUUUGGGAUAACUUCAGGAAACUGGGGCUAAUACCGGAUAGGAGCUCCUGCUGCAUGGUGGGGGUUGGAAAGUUUCGGCGGUUGGGGAUGGACUCGCGGCUUAUCAGCUUGUUGGUGGGGUAGUGGCUUACCAAGGCUUUGACGGGUAGCCGGCCUGAGAGGGUGACCGGCCACAUUGGGACUGAGAUACGGCCCAGACUCCUACGGGAGGCAGCAGUGGGGAAUAUUGCACAAUGGGCGGAAGCCUGAUGCAGCAACGCCGCGUGCGGGAUGACGGCCUUCGGGUUGUAAACCGCUUUCGCCUGUGACGAAGCGUGAGUGACGGUAAUGGGUAAAGAAGCACCGGCUAACUACGUG
rnacentral:rRNA from 1 species